ACACGUAGGGGGCGAGCGUUGUUCGGAAUCAUUGGGCGUAAAGGGCGUGCAGGCGGCCGCCAAAGUCCGGCGUGAAAGACCCAGGCUCAACCUGGGGGGUGCGCCGGAUACUGGGCGGCUUGAGUACAGGAGGGGACGGCGGAAUUCCAGGUGUAGGGGUGAAAUCUGUAGAUAUCUGGAGGAACACCGAUGGCGAAGGCAGCCGUCUGGCCAUGUACUGACGCUGAGGCGCGAAGGUGCGGGGAGCAAACAGGUUUAGAUACCCUGGUAGUCCGCACAGUAAACGAUGUGCACCAGGCGGCGGGGGCAACCUCGCUGCCGCAGUUAACGCAUUAAGUGCACCGCCUGGGGAGUAUGCCCGCAAGGGUGAA
rnacentral:rRNA from 1 species